rnacentral:lncRNA from 1 species
AAGCUGUAAAGUGCUGUGCUCAACAUAUAAACACAGUAGAUCCCUGUUCGUUUCAGUGAGCUGCCUCAAUGGAGGAACUUGGAAAGAAAACUUCUGUGAUUGUUCCACAGGUGUUGGAGAUCAAUGCUCUCGCUGCAAGAAUGGAGGCACCUGGGAUGGGGAGAAGUGCCUGUGUCUCACCCCCUAUGGUGGGGAGUCAUGUGAGGAGGUGGUCAACAACAUUGACAUAGAUGAACAUUGUGUAUUCCGGGAUCCCUGAGUAUGUUGGGGUGAACAUCACAAACCUACGUCUUGGCAGUGUGGUGGUGGAGCAUGACGUCCUCCUAAGAACCAAGUACACACCAGAAUACAAGACAGCUUUGGACAAUGCCACCGAGGUAGUGAAACAAAAAAUCACAAAAGUGACCACAGAGCAAAUAAUGACCAAUGAUAAUUGCUCAGGUAAACUCUUGGGCUUCUAGGGAGGGAAGGGAGAGGGGAUCAGAGCUGGGGCAUGACCUUCUUAACAGAGAGGAGGGCUGGGAGUGAGGAUGGUUAAUGGGCAGGUACAAGAAUCACUGUGGGGUCCUAGAGUACCUGGGGGUGCAGCCCAAAGAAGCCCCAGGAUUGGGCCGAGACAGUCUUUAACCUUCAUCAUCCUCCAGCC